GAUGAAGAACGUAGCGAAAUGCGAUAAGUAAUGUGAAUUGCAGAAUUCAGUGAAUCAUCGAGUCUUUGAACGCACAUUGCGCCCCCUGGAAUUCCGGGGGGCAUGCCUGUUCGAGCGUCUCAGGGACGAACCCUCGCGCGGGUGUACGCGCGGUCGUGGCUGCGGUGGCGUGCCCGAGGCGGCGGCCACCGCGCUGGAAUCCAUGGGCGGACGCCUGCCGCGUGGCCGAGCGUGAUAUGACGCAUUGGCGCUCGCACGCGGAGAGGCUGCCAGCCCUGGCCCGUCUGUCGGGCGGGGGAGAGCAAGACACGUGAACUCCUCGAAUCAGGUAGGGAUACCCGCUGAACUUAAGCAUAUCAAUAAGCGGAGGA
rnacentral:misc_RNA from 1 species